GACGAACGCUGGCGGCGUGCCUAAUACAUGCAAGCAGAACGCUGAAGGAGGAGCUUGCUUCUCUGGAUGAGUUGCGAACGGGUGAGUAACGCGUAGGUAACCUGCCUGGUAGCGGGGGAUAACUAUUGGAAACGAUAGCUAAUACCGCAUAAUAGCAGUUGUUGCAUGACAACUGUUUGAAAGGUGCAAUUGCACCACUACCAGAUGGACCUGCGUUGUAUUAGCUAGUUGGUGGGGUAACGGCUCACCAAGGCGACGAUACAUAGCCGACCUGAGAGGGUGAUCGGCCACACUGGGACUGAGACACGGCCCAGACUCCUACGGGAGGCAGCAGUAGGGAAUCUUCGGCAAUGGACGGAAGUCUGACCGAGCAACGCCGCGUGAGUGAAGAAGGUUUUCGGAUCGUAAAGCUCUGUUGUAAGAGAAGAACGAGUGUGAGAGUGGAAAGUUCACACUGUGACGGUAUCUUACCAGAAAGGGACGGCUAACUACGUG
rnacentral:rRNA from 1 species